UGGCUCAGUUGGUAGAGCAUCUGACUCUUGAUCUCACGGUUGUGAGCUCAAACCUCAC
rnacentral:tRNA from 1 species